GUAACCCAAUUAACUGUCAGAAACUAGUACAUGUAGCUGUAUAAAUA
rnacentral:ribozyme from 1 species